GGGGUUAUAGCUCAGUGGUAGAGCACGCGCCUAGCACAGGCGAGGCCCUGGGUUCGAUCCUCAGUACCA
rnacentral:tRNA from 1 species